UAAAUCCUACGGGACGCAGCAGUCGAGAAUCAUUCACAAUGGGGGAAACCCUGAUGGUGCGACGCCGCGUGGGGGAAUGAAGGUCUUCGGAUUGUAAACCCCUGUCAUGUGGGAGCAAAUUAAAGAGAUAGUACCACAAGAGGAAGAGACGGCUAACUCUGUGCCAGCAGCCGCGGUAAUACAGAGGUCUCAAGCGUUGUUCGGAAUCACUGGGCGUAAAGCGUGCGUAGGCUGUUUCGUAAGUCGUGUGUGAAAGGCGCGGGCUCAACCCGCGGACGGCACCUGAUACUGCG
rnacentral:rRNA from 1 species